rnacentral:lncRNA from 1 species
CAGGCAGGGCUGGGGAGGGCUGAGCCGGCCUCUCCCAGUCUCAUGGGAGGGUUUCAUUGGGUCUGUUUCCCGAAGACCAACCUGCUUAAAGGUAAUGCGCAUUGGUCGGGAAGGCAGAUCUUCAGCCCUCGGAAGCGGAUGUUGACGUCAUAAAGUUCCACCCUCGUCUGGGAUCCUCAUUCACCUGAAAACAGUCAAGAGUUGGAAAAAUUGGGUGAUGACAAGGGCCUGGUCAGAUGUCUUCAAAAGGAGAUCGAUUCAAUAAACAGCCUCUUAUCUGCCGUGGUUACUUUACUCCUUCACAUCCCUGAUCAAAUCCAGUCAGAGAUGGGAACGUACCCCUUUCCUUGGUGGAGGAUUGGGGAGCCAAGCUUCAAAAUGUGGGUACAGAAGGGAGAGACCCAGUUGGGAAGCUAUGAAGACAUCAGGAAGGUUGAGAAACCUCUCUGAACCUUAGAUCCCACAUCUGAAAGAAAGAGAAGAGGAUGGGAGCAGAGCUGAGAUGGAUGCUAGAUAAACAGCCAGGAGUGUCCAAUUCUAAGGGUCCAAGUUAGAACCCAAGGAUGUCCCUUCUAGAAGCUUCCAGAUGAUUCAUGAACCACACUCGGAGAAUCUUGGCCCACUCCAUGCUGCAUGUGUCAGCAAGUUCCCUGAAAGCACUUUUGCAGAGCUUCUUUGCGACAUCUGAAGUGACAGGCAGAUCCAACUUUGGGCAAAGGGCCAAGAAGUCACACUCCAGGAGGCAGGAGCAGGGUAGAAUCAAGUUGUCAUCAGUCGUCAGCUUGUCCUUCAUUCUGGAGUAACAAGACAUCGGGGAUUGGGGCUUUUUCCUUUGGUUUUAAAUAAGAAAAUGAUCUCUUCUCAUGUCCUAAUAGAGAGAAGGACAAUAAAAAAAAA